CCUAACACAUGCAAGUCGAACGGUAACAGGAAGAAGCUUGCUUCUUUGCUGACGAGUGGCGGACGGGUGAGUAAUGUCUGGGAAACUGCCUGAUGGAGGGGGAUAACUACUGGAAACGGUAGCUAAUACCGCAUAACGUCGCAAGACCAAAGAGGGGGACCUUCGGGCCUCUUGCCAUCGGAUGUGCCCAGAUGGGAUUAGCUAGUAGGUGGGGUAACGGCUCACCUAGGCGACGAUCCCUAGCUGGUCUGAGAGGAUGACCAGCCACACUGGAACUGAGACACGGUCCAGACUCCUACGGGAGGCAGCAGUGGG
rnacentral:rRNA from 1 species